rnacentral:rRNA from 1 species
GUGCCAGCAGCCGCGGUAAUACCGGCAGCUCAAGUGGUCGUCGCUUUUAUUGGGCCUAAAACGUCCGUAGCCUGUUUGGUAAAUCUGUGGGUAAAUCAACCAGCUUAACUGGUUGAAUUCUGCAGAGACUGCCAGACUAGGGACCGGGAGAGGUGUGGGGUACUCUAGGGGUAGGGGUAAAAUCCUGUCAUCCUUAGAGGACCACCAGUUGCGAAGGCGCCACACUGGAACGGAUCCGACGGUCAGGGACGAAGCCUAGGGGCACGAACCGGAUUAGAUACCCGGGUAGUCCUAGGUGUAAACGCUGUGAACUUGGUGUCGGGAGUCCGCAAUGGGCCCCCGGUGCCGGAGUGAAGAUGUUAAGUUCACUGCCUGGGGAGUACGGUCGCAAGGCUGAAACUUAAAGGAAUUGGCGGGGGAGCACUGCAACGGGAGGAGCGUGCGGUUUAAUUGGAUUCAACGCCGGAAAACUCACCAAUGCCUACUGUUAGAUGAAGAUCAGCGUAAUGAGCUUAUCGGAUUUUCAGAGAGGUGGUGCAUGGUUGUCUUUAUUUCGUAUUGUAAAGCGUUCUGUUAAGUCAGAUAACUAACGAGACCCUCGUCUCUAUUUGCAACUUGUCUCUCCGGAGGCGGCGCACUAUAGAGAGACCGCUGGUGUGAAACCAGAGGAAGGCGAGGGCAACCAUAGGUCAUUAUGCCCCCGAAUGUCCUGGGCUACACACCCCUACAAAGGACGGGACAAUGGGAGCCAGCCCGAUAGGUCAUCUAACCCGAAACCCGUUCAUAGUUUGGAUUGAGGGCGGUAACUCGCCCUCAUGAAGCUGGAUUCCGUAGUAAUCGUGUUUCAAUAUAGCACGGUGAAUAUGCCCCUGCUCCUUGCACUCACCGCCCGUC